GGGGAGAUGGCUCAGUUGUGGAGAGCAUUGGUUGCUCUUCCAGAGGACCUAGGUUCAAUUCCCAGCACCCCA
rnacentral:tRNA from 1 species